AACGAACGCUGGCGGCGCGCCUAACACAUGCAAGUCGAACGAGAAUCCGGGGCAACCCGGUAGUAAAGUGGCAAACGGGUGAGGAAUACAUGGGUAACCUACCCUUGAGAAGGGAAUAACCCGCCGAAAGGUGAGCUAAUACCCUAUACGCUAUCUUUUUUUCGAAAAGGAUAGGAAAGCCGGGUCGAGGACCUGGUACUCAAGGAGGGGCUCAUGUCCUAUCAGCUUGUUGGUGGGGUAACGGCCUACCAAGGCUACGACGGGUAGCUGGUCUGAGAGGAUGAUCAGCCACACUGGCACUGAGAUACGGGCCAGACUCCUACGGGAGGCAGCAGUGAGGAAUAUUGCGCAAUGGGCGAAAGCCUGACGCAGCGACGCCGCGUGGGGGAUGAAGGUUUUCGGAUUGUAAACCCCUUUCAUGAGGAAAGAUAAAGUGGGUAACCACUUAGACGGUACCUCAAGAAGAAGCCACGGCUAACUUCGUGCCAGCAGCCGCGGUAAAG
rnacentral:rRNA from 1 species